CCACCGCCGCGCACAGAGUCGCUGCUGCUGUCUCUCAGAUUUAGGGGAGGCCGCUCAAAAUUGAGCCUUAAUUCUCCCCCUUCCAGAUCGAGCCCUAGCUCUUCUCCUGCCGAUUCAGUUCGGUCGUUGCCGCCGCGUGUGGAAUACCUGCAAAUCNUCGAAAUUCUCUGUGGGGCUGUGCGGUGGUACUUGUUCCAGCGCCGCCUCUUCCCCUGCUCUAACUCUUCCUCUUAAAUCUGAAAUCGUCGCCGCCGUGGUUCCGAAAUCUCAGGCGACGUUGCUCCGCCUGAAAACGCCGCCACCGCCGCGCACAGAGUCGCCGCUCAGAUUUAGGGUAGGCCGCUCAAAAUUGAGCCUUAAUUCUCCCCCUUCCAGAUUGAGCCCUAGCUCUUCUCCUGCCGAUUCAGUUCGGCCGUUGCCGCCGCGUGUGGAAUACCUGCAAAUCGGCGUCCUCCAUCUCUCUACACACGAAGUCUGAAGUCAAAGACGGC
rnacentral:lncRNA from 1 species